rnacentral:miRNA from 1 species
CCGUCUUCAUCAUUGGUGAACAGA